rnacentral:rRNA from 1 species
GCAAAGGUAGCAUAAUCAUUAGUUCUUUAAUUGUGAUCUGGUAUGAAUGGCUUGACGAGACAUAAGCUGUCUUAGGGGUAUUGGUUUAUUGAAUUUGGUUUUUGAGUUAAAAUUCUUAGAUGUUUUUAUGGGACGAGAAGACCCUAUAGAGUUUGACAAUUUUCUUAUUUAUUCAUUGUUUGUUUUAUUUACAUUGAGUGGGAAUAGAUUGUUUUGUUGGGGUGAUGGGAGGAAUAUUAUUUAACUCCUCUUUGUUUUUAUAUAUUUAUGUAUAUGUUUUUGAUCCAUUUAUUUUGAUUAUAAGAUUAAAUUACCUUAGGGAUAACAGCGUUAUCCUCCUUGAGAGUUCUUAUUGGCGGGGGGGUUUGCG